rnacentral:rRNA from 1 species
UACGUAGGGUCCGAGCGUUGUCCGGAAUUAUUGGGCGUAAAGGGCUCGUAGGCGGUCCGUCACGUCGGGAGUGAAAACUCAGGGCUCAACCCUGAGCGUGCUUCCGAUACGGGCGGACUUGAGGUAUGCAGGGGAGAACGGAAUUCCUGGUGUAGCGGUGGAAUGCGCAGAUAUCAGGAGGAACACCGGUGGCGAAGGCGGUUCUCUGGGCAUUACCUGACGCUGAGGAGCGAAAGCAUGGGGAGCAAACAGG